GCAGCCUGUUCGCCUGCAGCCUUUAGACAGGGAACAAGGGGCACAGCUUUUCCCACUUUAUUGGUUACUGACUGGGAAAGAAGGAUUCCACUAGCACUGCUUGGCUAUCAAAGCUGGGCAAUGUGAUCCUCUAAGCCACAUGUUUAGCCCCUUGACUGGGCAAACUUCAAACAAGUGACUGAGCUCCCUUAGCUGCCACUGAUUGGACCAGGAUGGACAACAAAUGUAGGAGGAGUUCAUCUGGAUCUAGCCUGAGCCAGUCAGAUAUCCCCUUUGAAUCCAUGCCUAUAGAAAUACAAAAAAAUGGAAGCCAGAGGAUGAUGGAUCCUUGAAGUAAUAAGUCAGCUCUGUGGAAGUUUGAGUGACUCAUUGCAGAGAGGAAUUGAUGAAGUCAACAGCUGCUGGAAAAACUUCUUUUUCCUUAAUAGCUGUAUCAACAUGUGGUUGCUAUUAUUCAAGUAAGAAAAAUAUGUAUAUCAAACAUCCAUGGUAGUCCUUGCUAAAAUUUUCAUUAGAGAGACUCAUGUUUUGACAUUAAAAAAAGUUCAAAUGGGUACCUUAGAGGAUGUUUUGUUGGAGAACAAAAUCAUGGAGAAAUAAAGUCUAAAAAGAAAAAUAAAUGGCAAG
rnacentral:lncRNA from 1 species